GGGGCUCGUAGCUUGCAAAAUCUAAUCAGGAUGCAAUGAGAAACAUAUUAAUCGUAUUUUCCAAGUUAAAUCCGGGCAUAAGAUAUGUUCAAGGAAUGAAUGAAAUCUUGGCACCUCUAUUUUAUGUAUUUAAGAAUGACCCUGAUGUGGAAAUGGCGGCUAGUGCAGAAGCAGA